GGUGAGUCUGGACUUUUUACACCUGCUGAUAUUGCAUACGUGCAAGAAGCUGGCGUCAAAGCGAUAAAUGCUAUUCAUACUAGCUUUUGGAAGAUAUCUAUGGUUAUGGUUGAAGAAUGUUGAAGACAAAAUUGCCUUUUGCUCAUGGAGUGGUUCAUUUAGAUGUUUUUCAAUUUCUUAAACUGUGAUUGCUUUUGUAAAUGUACCUUAUGUACAAGUGAUAUUUUGGACAAAUGUUAUUUUUGUAGGCAUUAGUUGGGUAAUGUACACUUGAAUUUGGCAUUUGAGACUGCUAUAUUAUUAACAUGUAAUCUAAUGCAAAUACUUUUGGUUAUCAA